rfam:Gasterosteus aculeatus cont1.010667, whole genome shotgun sequence.
UUUAAAGUGUAAUGUAAGUCGCUUUGGAUAAAAGUGUCUGCUAAAUGACCCAGU